rnacentral:lncRNA from 1 species
UAUAGGGUGUGGGGAGGGAUAUGGGGUAUAGGGGGGGAUAUAUGGGGGAUAAAUGGGGUGGAAUGCCAGCAAUCCCAAAGCAGUUUUUGUUCCCCCCCCCACCCCCAUCCCCCAUCCAGGUUUCAUCAGGCGGACCCACAGCAGUGGGGCAAAACCCACAGAGCUCUCCAUAGGGCUUCUAUGGGGUGGGAUGGGGCUGCCCUAUAUGGGACGGGGCCGCCCUAUAUGGGAUGGGGGGGGGGGGGGGGAUUUGGGGGGGGUUGGGGGGUUGCAGGAGCUCCAUGCUGUGCAAUGCUGGCAUUAAACUGCUGCAGGAUGGCGUGGGUUGUUUGCAGUGUGUGCAAAGGGGGGGGUUGCAAAUGGGUUUGGGGUUUGCAGCUGCAUUUUGGGGGCUGCAGGGUGUUUGCAACCUGAGCUCUGGGUUUGCAGAUGGGUUUGGGGUUUGCAGCUGCGUUUGGGGUCUGCAGGGUGUUUGCACGGUGUUUGCAACUGGGUUUGGGGUUUGCAGCUGCAUUUUGGGGUUUGCAGGGUGUUUGCAACCUGAGCUCUGGGUUUGCUGCUGCAUUUUGGGGUUUGCAGGUGCUCUUUGGGUUUUGCACACUGUUUGCAAUGCAUGCUUGGGAUUU